rnacentral:rRNA from 1 species
AUUGAACGCUGGCGGCAGGCUUAACACAUGCAAGUCGAACGAGUGGCGGACGGGUGAGUAAUGUCUGGGACACUGCCCGAUGGAGGGGGAUAACUACUGGAAACGGUAGCUAAUACCGCAUACUAUCAGAUGGGCCCAGAUGGGAUUAGCUAGUUGGUGGGGUAAAGGCUCACCAAGGCAACGAUCCCUAGCUGGUCUGCGAGGAUGACCAGCCACACUGGAACUGAGAAACGGUCAAGACUCCUACGGGAGGCAGCAGUGGGGAAGUGUGGACAAUGGGGGAAACCCUGAUCCAGCGAUGCCGCGUGUGUGAAGAAGGUCUUCGGGUUGUAAAGCACUUUAAGCUGGGAGGCGUUACCCGCAGAAGAAGCACCGACUAACUCCGUGCCAGCCGCCGCGGUAAUUC